rnacentral:rRNA from 1 species
CCUACGGGGGGCAGCAGUGAGGAAUAUUGGUCAAUGGACGCAAGUCUGAACCAGCCAAGUAGCGUGCAGGAUGACGGCCCUCCGGGUUGUAAACUGCUUUUAGUUGGGAAUAAAAGGGGGCUCGUGAGCCCCGUAUUGUAUGUACCAUCAGAAAAAGGACCGGCUAAUUCCGUGCCAGCAGCCGCGGUAAUACGGAAGGUCCGGGCGUUAUCCGGAUUUAUUGGGUUUAAAGGGAGCGUAGACCGGCUUUUAAGUCAGCUGUGAAAGUCCGCGGCUCAACCGUGGAAUUGCAGUUGAAACUGGAGGCCUUGAGUGCACACAGGGAUGCCGGAAUUAAUGGUGUAGGAGUAAAAUCCGUAGAUAUCUGGAGGAACAUCAGUGGCGAAGGCGACUAUCUGGCACAUAACUGACGCUGAGGAGCGAAAGCGUGGGUAGCAAACAGGAUUAGAUACCCCAGUAGUC